rnacentral:lncRNA from 1 species
GAAAGUAGCAGUGAAUCCACAGUUGAAGGUCCAAUUACCACCUCUCUUGAAGUUGCUAGCAAAGCAUAAAUAAGAGGUGGAACAAUACUUGUAUCUGAGUAAAUAAAUAAACCAUGCUUAAUUUUUCACCUAAUUAAAAGAAAACAUAGUGAUUUUAAAAUCAAUGUGCAUAGCAUUUAUAAAUCAAUAUUUAACUUACAGAAGCCGUAUUCAGGACUCAUCUUCGCCAAACUCGCAUUUCCCAUCGCCUGCAGAACGAAAAGCAUCGGUCUUAAUAAUUCUAUGUAAAAUGAUCGUUAGUGCCGCAAUUCUUAAAAUUUCACAUGUCACAACUAUGAACUAUAUAUUAAUGUAACUUGAUUUAUUUAUAAUUAAACCUGUGGAAUAGCAAAGAUUGCAAGGACAAGACCAGCCAAGACAUCACACUUAAACUUUUGAACAUUG